rnacentral:rRNA from 1 species
UGGGGAAUCUUGGACAAUGGGGGCAACCCUGAUCCAGCGACGCCGCGUGAAUGAUGAAGGCCUUAGGGUUGUAAAAUUCUUUCGCUAGGGAUGAUAAUGACAGUACCUAGUAAAGAAGCCCCGGCUAACUUCGUGCCAGCAGCCGCGGUAAUACGAAGGGGGCUAGCGUUGUUCGGAAUUACUGGGCGUAAAGCGCACGUAGGCGGACUUUUAAGUCAGAUGUGAAAUCCCGAGGCUCAACCUCGGAACUGCAUUUGAAACUGGGAGUCUAGAGAUCAGGAGAGGUUAGCGGAAUACCGAGUGUAGAGGUGAAAUUCGUAGAUAUUCGGUGGAACACCAGUGGCGAAGGCGGCUAACUGGACUGAUACUGACGCUGAGGUGCGAAAGUGUGGGGAGCAAACAGGAUUAGAUACCCCUGUAGUCC